UGGGGAAUAUUGCACAAUGGGCGCAAGCCUGAUGCAGCCAUGCCGCGUGUAUGAAGAAGGCCUUCGGGUUGUAAAGUACUUUCAGCGGGGAGGAAGGUGUUGUGGUUAAUAACCUCAGCAAUUGACGUUACCCGCAGAAGAAGCACCGGCUAACUCCGUGCCAGCAGCCGCGGUAAUACGGAGGGUGCAAGCGUUAAUCGGAAUUACUGGGCGUAAAGCGCACGCAGGCGGUCUGUCAAAUCGGAUGUGAAAUCCCCGGGCUCAACCUGGGAACUGCAUCCGAAACUGGCAGGCUUGAGUCUUGUAGAGGGGGGUAGAAUUCCAGGUGUAGCGGUGAAAUGCGUAGAGAUCUGGAGGAAUACCGGUGGCGAAGGCGGCCCCCUGGACAAAGACUGACGCUCAGGUGCGAAAGCGUGGGGAGCAAACA
rnacentral:rRNA from 1 species